UUAACAGAAAUAUAUGAUCAAGAUUUUUCUACUAUUGACCGUUCUAAUAUAAGGGAUCAACUUGAGACAUUCAUAUUGCAUAUGCGAAGAGUAGACCUUUUCAAGGACUGUCAAGAUUUUUCAAGUUUGGCUAUGAAGAUGGUUGAACAUGAAAGACAUAUUGCUUUUCCAUUGGUCUAUCGCCUUAUUGAGCUAACAUUGCUUCUACCAGUGGCAACAGCAUCUGUUGAAAGAGCCUUCUCAGCUAUGAAUAUAAUCAAGACAGAUCUACGCAAUAGGAUGGCUGAUGAAUGGCUUAAUGAUUUGUUAUUGUGCUACAUUGAGAAGGAAAUCUUUAGAAGCAUUGAUGCAAAAGAAAUCAAGAAUACAUUUCAAGCCACAAAAAAUCGGAGAAUUAACUUGCCUAGACCACCGAGAAGACCUAGACAUGAUUAGUGGUUUCUUAAGAUGCUAGACUGCUAGUGGUUGGUUAUCUUAGUUCCUAGAUCUUGCCAUGUUGGUGUAUAUUGAAUUAAGGAAUUAUAUUGUGGUGUUCAAUAUUCUACGACAUUUUAUUUGGAAGGUAUCAUCUUUGAUCUUAAAAUGUACCGUUUAUUAA